rnacentral:rRNA from 1 species
UACAGAGGUCUCAAGCGUUGUUCGGAUUCAUUGGGCGUAAAGGGUGCGUAGGUGGCGCGUAAGUCGGGUGUGAAAUUUCGGAGCUUAACUCCGAAACUGCAUUCGAUACUGCGGUGCUUGAGGACUGGAGAGGAGACUGGAAUUUAUGGUGUAGCAGUGAAAUGCGUAGAGAUCAUAAGGAAGACCAGUGGCGAAGGCGGGUCUCUGGACAGUUCCUGACAGCUGAGGCACGAAGGCCAGGGGAGCAAACGGG